rnacentral:misc_RNA from 1 species
AUCCAUGAAAUUCACAUGGACAAUUGAGAAUUUCUCUAGGUUGAACACUAAGAAGCACUAUUCUGAAGUAUUCGUUGUUGGCGGUUACAAAUGGCGAAUACUAAGUUUUCCCAAGGGAAACAAUGUGGACCACUUGUCUAUGUAUUUGGAUGUAGCAGAUUCUGCCACAUUGCCAUAUGGAUGGAGUAGAUACGCACAAUUCAGCUUGGCUGUAGUCAAUCAAAUUCAUAGCAAGUAUUCGAUUA